rnacentral:rRNA from 1 species
GACGAACGCUGGCGGCGUGCUUAACACAUGCAAGUCGAACGAAGAGCGACGGAAGCUUGCUUCUAUCAAUCUUAGUGGCGAACGGGUGAGUAACGCGUAAUCAACCUGCCCUUCAGAGGGGGACAACAGUUGGAAACGACUGCUAAUACCGCAUACGAUCUAAUCUCGGCAUCGAGGAUGGAUGAAAGGUGGCCUCUACAUGUAAGCUAUCACUGAAGGAGGGGAUUGCGUCUGAUUAGCUAGUUGGAGGGGUAACGGCCCACCAAGGCGAUGAUCAGUAGCCGGUCUGAGAGGAUGAACGGCCACAUUGGGACUGAGACACGGCCCAGACUCCUACGGGAGGCAGCAGUGGGGAAUCUUCCGCAAGGGACGAAAGUCUGACGGAGCAACGCCGCGUGAGUGAUGACGGCCUUCGGGUUGUAAAGCUCUGUUAAUCGGGACGAAAGGCCUUCUUGCGAAUAGUGAGAAGGAUUGACGGUACCGGAAUAGAAAGCCACGGCUAACUACGUG